rnacentral:rRNA from 1 species
GACAGAGGUGCCGAGCGUUAGGCGGAAUCACUGGGCUUAAAGCGUGUGUAGGCGGGUCGUUAAGUACCUUGUGGAAAUCCCCCCGGCUCAACCGGGGAACUGCUGGGUAUACUGGCGAUCUUGAGCGAUCUAGGGCAGAUGGAACAAGUGGUGGAGCGGUGAAAAUGCGUAGAUAUCACUUGGAACGCCAAGGGUGAAAACAAUCUGCUGGGGAUCUGCUGACGCUGGAGACACGAAAGCCCAGGGGAGCGAACGGG